GGCGGCGUAGCCAAGUGGUAAGGCAAGGGUCUGCAAAACCCUCAUGCACCGGUUCAAAUCCGGUCGCCGCCUCCA
rnacentral:tRNA from 1 species